rnacentral:rRNA from 1 species
CCAGCUCUAAUAGCGUAUAUUAAUACUGUUGCAGUUAAAACGCUCGUAGUUGAACUUAGAAUUAUUACAAGUUAUUUUACUUGAUUGUAAAAGUGCUUGCUUAAUUCUUAUCUACUAGAUACUCUAUUCUGUACUUAAUUGUAUGGAAUAUCACCUAGCCAGUGGAACUUUGGUAGAAUAAUGCCUUUUUUAAUACCAGAGUGUAAAAACUUGAAGUGUUAAAUUGGGAUCACAUUAUUUUAUUGAAGUGGGGUUCUAGUUAAUUUACUUUGAGUAAAUUAGAGUGUUCAAAGCAGCCUCUUGGGGCUUUGAAUAGAUUUAGCAUGGGAUAAUAGAAUAGGAUUUGAUAAUCUAUUUGUUGGUUUGAAUUAAUCAAAUAAUGAUUAAUAGGGACAGUUGGGGGC